rnacentral:rRNA from 1 species
GAACGAUACCAGAGAGCUUGCUUUCUGGGAAAGUGGCGCACGGGUGCGUAACGCGUAUGCAACCUACCUUUAUCUGGGGGAUAGCCUCUCGAAAGAGAGAUUAACACCGCAUAACAUCAACGAACGGCAUCGUUCAAUGAUCAAAUAUUUAUAGGAUAAAGAUGGGCAUGCGUGUCAUUAGCUAGUUGGUGAGGUAACGGCUCACCAAGGCGACGAUGACUAGGGGAUCUGAGAGGAUGACCCCCCACACUGGUACUGAGACACGGACCAGACUCCUACGGGAGGCAGCAGUAAGGAAUAUUGGUCAAUGGAGGCAACUCUGAACCAGCCAUGCCGCGUGCAGGAAGACGGCCCUACGGGUUGUAAACUGCUUUUAUUCGGGAAUAAACCUUUUUACGUGUAAGAAGUUGAAUGUACCGAAAGAAUAAGGAUCGGCUAACUCCGUGCCAGCAGCCGCGGUAAUACGGAGGAUCCAAGCGUUAUCCGGAUUUAUUGGGUUUAAAGGGUGCGUAGGCGGCUUAUUAAGUCAGGGGUGAAAGACGGUGGCUCAACCAUCGCAGUGCCUUUGAUACUGAUGAGCUUGAAUACACUAGAGGUAGGCGGAAAUGUGACNAGUAGCGGUGAAAUGCAUAGAUAUGUCACAGAACACCAAUUGCGAAGGCAGCUUACUAUGGGGUUAUUGACGCUGAGGCACGAAAGCGUGGGGNAUCAAACAGGAUUAGAUACCCUGGGUAGUCACGCCCUAACGAUGAAUACUCGAUGUUAGCGAUAUACAGUUAGCGUCUAAGCGAAGCGUUAAGUAUUCCACCUGGGGGAGUACCCCGCNAGGGUA